rnacentral:rRNA from 1 species
UGGGGAAUAUUGGACAAUGGGCGCAAGCCUGAUCCAGCCAUGCCGCGUGAGUGAUGAAGGCCCUAGGGUUGUAAAGCUCUUUCACCGGUGAAGAUAAUGACGGUAACCGGAGAAGAAGCCCCGGCUAACUUCGUGCCAGCAGCCGCGGUAAUACGAAGGGGGCUAGCGUUGUUCGGAUUUACUGGGCGUAAAGCGCAAGUAGGCGGACUUUUAAGUCAGGGGUGAAAUCCCGGGGCUCAACCCCGGAACUGCCUUUGAUACUGGAAGUCUUGAGUAUGGUAGAGGUGAGUGGAAUUCCGAGUGUAGAGGUGAAAUUCGUAGAUAUUCGGAGGAACACCAGUGGCGAAGGCGGCUCACUGGACCAUUACUGACGCUGAGGUGCGAAAGCGUGGGGAGCAAACAGG